GAGUUUGAUCCUGGCUCAGAACGAACGCUGGCGGCGUGCCUAACACAUGCAAGUCGAACGUGAUCCAGAGCUCGCUCUGGUGAAAGUGGCGCACGGGUGAGUAACGCGUGGAUAACCUACCCUGGUAUCCGGGAUAACAUUCCGAAAGGGGUGCUAAUACCGGAUAAGCCCACGGGCUCUUUGGAGCUUGCGGGAAAAGGUGGCCUCUAUUUAUAAGCUACUGUAUCAGGAUGGGUCCGCGUACCAUUAGCUAGUUGGCGGUGUAACGGACCACCAAGGCGACGAUGGUUAGCUGGUCUGAGAGGAUGAUCAGCCACACUGGAACUGAGACACGGUCCAGACUCCUACGGGAGGCAGCAGUGGGGAAUUUUGCGCAAUGGGGGAAACCCUGACGCAGCAACGCCGCGUGAGUGAUGAAGGCCUUUGGGUCGUAAAGCUCUGUCAGGGGGGAAGAAAUGAUAUAGUGCUAAUACCACUUUAUCUUGACGGUACCCUCAAAGGAAGCACCGGCUAACUCCGUGCCAGCAGCCGCGGUAAUAC
rnacentral:rRNA from 1 species